rnacentral:lncRNA from 11 species
GGGGGCAUCUUUAUUUGGGCUUGCUGCCCCUACAGAUUCACUAGCACUAUGGAAGUAACUGGUACCUAAAAUUGGCUUCUAGAGACAGGCUGCCUCAUCAUUCCUGCAGCCCCAUACAUCUGUUGGUUUUUCUAAGGCUGGGAUCUGAAUUGUUCCAUAAACCUGGAUUGUUGCC